GAUGAACGCUGGCGGCGUGCCUAAUACAUGCAAGUCGAGCGAACUGAUUAGAAGCUUGCUUCUAUGACGUUAGCGGCGGACGGGUGAGUAACACGUGGGCAACCUGCCUGUAAGACUGGGAUAACUUCGGGAAACCGAAGCUAAUACCGGUUAGGAUCUUCUCCUUCAUGGGAGAUGAUUGAAAGAUGGUUGCGGCUAUCACUUACAGAUUGGCCCGCGGUGCAUUAGCUAGUUGGUGAGGUAACGGCUCACCAAGGCAACGAUGCAUAGCCGACCUGAGAGGGUGAUCGGCCACACUGGGACUGAGACACGGCCCAGACUCCUACGGGAGGCAGCAGUAGGGAAUCUUCCGCAAUGGACGAAAGUCUGACGGAGCAACGCCGCGUGAGUGAUGAAGGCUUUCGGGUCGUAAAACUCUGUUGUUAGGGAAGAACAAGUACGAGAGUAACUGCUCGUACCUUGAUGGUACCUAACCAGAAAGCCACGGCUAACUACGUGCCAGCAGCCGCAGUAACAC
rnacentral:rRNA from 1 species